rnacentral:misc_RNA from 1 species
UUGAUUCAUUUUUCUUUUUUCACUCAGACAUGCUCGGUAAGGAGAAUACAGAAGUUUGGGUCCUCCGGCGAGGCUGUCCGCCCCGCCGAAGCAACGGUAUAGGUAGGUUCACACGGGGUUUUGGGAGUUGUAAGCUCGGUAAUGAUCCCUCCGCUGGUUCACCAACGGAGA